CCAACGGCCCUCUUUAGGGCCACCAAUAUUAUGAUCUUACUUUUUU
rnacentral:ncRNA from 14 species